rnacentral:rRNA from 1 species
UAACGAAUAUUCCGCAAUGCGCGAAAGCGUGACGGAGCAAUGCCGCGUGAAGGAUGAAGCCCUUACGGGUGUAAACUUCUGUCAGGGGUUACCAAGCUCUGAGGAGCCCCAAAGGAAGGACCGGCUAACUUCGUGCCAGCAGCCGCGGUAAUACGAAGGGUCCAAGCGUUAAUCGGAAUCACUGGGCAUAAAGCGUGCGUAGGCGGAUGUGCAAGUACCCUGUGAAAUCCCACGGCUCAACCGUGGAACUGCUCGGUAGACUGCACGUCUUGAACCCAACAGGGGCCGUCGGAACGAUAGGUGGAGCGGUGAAAUGCGUAGAUAUCUAUCGGAACGCCAAUGGCGAAGGCAGGCGGCUGGGUUGGUGUUGACGCUCAGGCACGAAAGCGUGGGUAGCGAACGGGAUUAGAUACCCCCGUAGUCC